rnacentral:misc_RNA from 1 species
AAAAAAAAACAAACUUCAAAAAUUUAUUUUUCAACAUUUCAUUACAUUUGGAGUUUUGGGAAAUUACUAUUUGGUUUCUAUGUUUUAGUUUGUAAUAAUUAGACGACUUUAAUGAAAUGGCAUCUGCCCUAGAGCUGUUUGUUAAUACCGUACGAAAUCUUUCUAGUCACGGUAAUCUGAGGGAGCUGUAUGAUACAAUAGGAAAAUCAAAUGAUAUCCUGUUAAAGAAUAUACAGCAUUUGGACAAUGUUCUUGAAACUCUUGAUGUCCAGCAACAUUCUUUAGGAGUCCUAGCAGUGUUAAUUGCUAAAUUUAGCAGUUCGAAUGUGACUUUACCAGAUAACCGGUUUAUGCAAGCACAAGAUUUUUUUUUGAAUUGUAAUAUAGAACAAGUAAAAAAAGCACCAGAUUCAUUUGCAGAGUUUUGUCAUCUUUUUACAAAUUAUUUAGUAGAACAAAAGACCCCUAUGAAAGGAAUUAGUUUGUUAAAACAUGCUAUUAUUAGACUAAAAUAUUUAUCAGAGAACCAGUUAACAUCUAUACAUGCCGAUUUUUGUCAGCUUUGUUUGCUUGCCAAGUGUUUCAAACCCGCCUUGCAAAUAUUGGAUGUGGAUAUUGUUAGCAUUUGCCAAGAGCUAAACCACACAAAUCCGAAUAGUCCCCAGUUUGAUGCCAAAUAUUUUUUACUUUACUACUAUUAUGGAGGAAAAAUAUACUUGGCAGUAAGGAACUUAGAGAGAGCCCUUUAUUUCUUUGAAGUAGCAUUGACAACUCCUGCUCAUGCAGUAUCACAUAUCAUGUUAGAAGCUUAUAAAAAGUUUAUUUUAGUCUCUUUGCUUCUACAUGGAAAGGUAGAGCAAAUACCAAAAUAUGCAUCGAAAGUUGUUAUGAGGUUUAUUAAACCUUUAUCACAGCCUUAUAAUGACUUGGCAAAUGCAUUUUUCUCAAACAACUCAGUGGAGCUGAACAAUAUAAUUCAGAAACAUACUGAAGUUUUUUCAAGGGAUCACAAUAUGGGACUGGUAAAGCAAGUUUCUUCAGUGCUUUACAAAAAGAACAUUCAAAGACUUACUAAGACAUUUUUGACAUUAAGCCUAUCAGAUGUUGCUAGUAGAGUCGGAUUACCAGGGCCUCAAGAUGCAGAAAAGCACAUUUUAAAUAUGCUAUUUUUUUAUAGAUUGAAAAUGGUCAAAUAUAUGCCACAAUUAACCAAAAAGAUGGUAUGGUGGUGUUUAGUGAUGAGCCCGAUAAGUAUUGUGGCCCUGGAGUUUUGAAAACUUUAGAAGAGGAAUUGUCAUUUUGUAUGGACCUUAACAAUAGGAUUUUGAUGAUGGAUGAAGAAAUUCAGGUAAAUUUACAUUAUGUGAAAAAAUCAGCAAGCCUUCAAGAAGAAGACCAACCUUCAAAGAGCACUUAUGCCAUGUAGCACCCCUUUCACAAGUUUUAACACAAUGUAUCAUAUUAAUAUUUAUGUUUGUAUUUGCUAGGCCCUCCACAUUCACCCCUGUAUAAGAAUCCUCAAUUAAUAAAAUAGGAAGUUAUAUUGCUUAA